ensembl:lncRNA
UGCUCAUCCAAAUUAAAAGGCAGACAUUUGCUUCUGGGCAAGAUGGAGAAACAAGGACCACGUUUAUCCUCCUGCCUGGAGCAACUCUCCAAAGAAAACAACAUCAUCAAGAAACCAUAUAUGUACACGAAACAGUUUAUUUUUCAGGACAGUAAACAUCAGACAGUUAAGAACAUCGGUCCCUAGGAGAUGAGAAGCAAAAGCUUCAGGCUCAGAAUUGCUCAACUUGCUUCCUCGAGAGGAAGGGGAAGUGGGGGGAGCCCAGUGGGACCCUUGAACUGAUGAGAAAGAGCUGAGGGUCCAGGGAGACCCAGGCAACGAAAGUUCAUGGCACAGAGCGCUGGAGAGGAGUGCGUGCGUAGGGAGCCCUGGAGGCCCGCAGAGGGGCCCACUCACACACCCAGUCGGGUAAAGAGCAACACGUGCCUCGGAGGAAAUUCUUCAAGGCUUGGAAGAGAACCACCAGGAGGGGCGGGGGCCCAUGCCCACUGCUCAGGCAGGGCUGGGAACAGGGUCCGUUCCCACCAACCAGACUCAGAAAAUGGACACUUCACGGGGCCUUGGGCACUUGGAAAAUUCCUGCAUUACCCUGGGGGCAGUUAACCCCGAAUGGGGCACUUCCCCAGGCCCACCUUACAAACCCAAAAAAAUCCAGACCAGAGAGGAUCAGAUCAUGGCCAGGUGACUUAACUGCUCCCCAGAGCAAAGCUCCAGAACGUUCGUAGGAGUAGAAAGAGGUCCUGCACGAACGAGGGGGAAAACACACAAUGUCUGGCAUCUGAUCAAAAAUUAGCAAACAGGCAAAGAAGCAGGAAAAAGCGAGCCAUAAGAGGAGGAGAGCCAAUCAAUCAAAAACAACUGCAAGAAGUCAGCACUGCAAACCCCUUAAAGCCAAAGCAGCAACACAGAAAGGCCGAGCAAAGGAGAUAAAAUGGAAUUCAGAAAACUCUCGAUUGACGCAGAAGAGGUAAGAGGGAGAAAAAAAGAGACAGGACCCACAGAACACGGGUGAGAAACGGUGCACUUGCUUCCUUCCGCGGUCAAGCACGUUACGUGCAGCUGGUCUAAACGCCCCAGUUAAGAGGCAGAGAUGGUUAUACUGGGGUUAAAGAAGGAAGAAUCCUCCUGUGUCCUGCCUACAAGAAGCACGGUUUAAGUAUAAAGACACACAAAGGUUAAAGGAAUCACAGACCUCUGAAAUAUACAUAAAGCUAAACGGGCUGUAACUGGCAGGGUAGACAUGCACAGUUACACUCCGAGACUUCAGUACCCCUCUAUCAAUAAUUAAUUGGAAAUUAAUGAUUAAUUGUUUAUCAAGGAAAAAUCAAAAAGGAAAUUAGGAAGGAUUCUCAACAGAAUGAAAAUAUAAAGACAGCACAUGGGAACUUGUGCAAAACGGUUAGAGCAGGACUCAGGGCGGAAUUUCUCCUGCAAAAACGCCUACAUGGAAAACAAGCGAGCGCUGAAAUCAGUGACCCCAGCUUCUGCCUUAAGAAAAAUAGGAAAAGAAAUGCAAAUCAGCCCAAAGUAAGCAUGAGAAAGGAAAUAAUGCAGACCAGGAAGAAGUUGAUGAAACAGAAAACAGAAGAACAAUAGAGAAAGCAGGAAAGCCAACCCAGAACUCUGUUGUUUGAGAAUACCAAUAAAAACUGAUAAACCAGAUCAGGAAAAGAGAAAAAGUGAGAGAUGAAGUGCCCGACAUCAGGAACGAGGAGGUGACAUCAAUACAGAGUGUGAAAGUCGCUCAGCUGUGUCUGACUCUCUGCAACCCCAUGGACUGUCAGUCCAUGGAAUUCUCCAGACCAGAAUACUGGAGUGGGUAGUCCUUCCCUUCUCCAGGGGAACUUCCCAACCCAGGGAUCGAACCCAGGCCUCCCGAAUUGCAGGCAGACGCUCUCCCAGCUGAGCCACCAGGGAAGCCCCAAAAGACUGGAGUGGGUAGCUUAUCCCUUCUCCAGGAGCUGAACUGGGGUCUCUGCAUUGUAG